UAUCUAUUUUAUUUAUUUAAUUUCAUUAUAUUUUACUAAUAAAAUGUUUAACCAAUCAGAUCGCAUUAUACAUAGGUUUGGAAAUUCCAAAGUGUACGCAAAUUAUUUUCUGUGUAACCCCAGUUUAAAUUUGCAGAUCUUUCGUUUGUUGACUGGCGACCGAUCUAAACAAGUCUGUUCUUGUUCCGUUGGAAGAGGACACAGAUUUUACAGUGACAUGCAGUGACAUUCAAGCAGGACAUCCCAUGGCAUUUCGGUGAUUUCAGUGAUGUUCCUACAGCAAUUCGGCAGCAGGGUGAUACCGCACGGCAAGUAAAACAGUUCAGGAGUCGUGGUCGAGCCUUGUUUCAAUUCCUGAAAUCAUGCAGUUUAAACCAUUUUAAAACAUUCGUUUCUGAAAUAAACGCCUUUAAUGCAA